ACUGAUGUUUAUUCCGGUAAGGCCACACCCGUUCCCAUUCCGAACACGGCAGUUAAGCUUACCAGGGUUGAUGGUAGUAACACCCAAUUCGGUGUUGUCAGAGUAGAUCGAUGUCAGUC
rnacentral:rRNA from 1 species